AUAGGAGACACAGACACACACACACCGUAAGCUCCCUACAAGACAGUAAACACAAAAAUAUGAGUGCAAAAUGAAACUAGAGGAAUAUUAAUCAACAUUUUAUUAAGCCCCUACAGACCCACCUAUGGCAUACAGCGUCAGUCCAGAGUACAGCCCCAGGUUGGUCUUGCUAGCCCCGAUGAGGAUGAAAGCAGGAGUCAUCGUCAUUAACCACUGUGGAUGGUGAGGGUGGUAGAGGAGGCAGUGGUGGGUUUAAUAAUAGUGUUACUGAUAAAUCCUGUUGUUUUAUAUUGUAAUUCUACACAGUAAAAAUAUAGAUUUGAAAAUAUACUUUGUAAACCUCAGUAACUUCCACUACAGCCCAUUAAACUAGAACCAUGAAAACAUCCUUGAAAACCCCAGUAACUUGCACUACAGCCUGUUAGACUAGAACCAUAAAAACACCCUUGAAAACCCCAGUAACUUCCACUACACCCUGUUAAACAAAAACCAUGAAAACACCCUUGAAAACCCCAGUAACUUCCACUACACCCUGUUAAACAAGAACCAUGAAAAACACCCUUGAAAACCUCAGUAACUUCCACUACACCCUGUUAAAC